CCCGCUGAACUUAAGCAUAUCAAUAAGCGAAGGAAAAGAAACUAACAAGGAUUCCCCUAGUAACGGCGAGUGAAGAGGGAAAAGCUCAAAUUUGUAAUCUGGCGGUCUCUGGCCGUCCGAGUUGUAAUUUGGAGAGGCGUUUUCCGUGUCGGACCACGUACAAGUCCCCUGGAACGGGGCGUCGUAGAGGGUGAGAAUCCCGUCUUUGGCACGGACGCCCAGUGCUUCUGUGAUGCGCUCUCGAAGAGUCGAGUUGUUUGGGAAUGCAGCUCAAAAUGGGUGGUGAACUCCAUCUAAAGCUAAAUAUUGGCGAGAGACCGAUAGCGAACAAGUACCGUGAGGGAAAGAUGAAAAGCACUUUGGAAAGAGAGUGAAACAGUACGUGAAAUUGUUGAAAGGGAAACGCUUGAAGUCAGUCGCGUCGUCCGAGACUCAGCCUCGCCUCGGCUUGGUGUACUUCUCGGACGACGGGUCAGCAUCAAUUUUGCCCCUUGGAUAAUGGCGAGGGAAAUGUGACACCUUUGCGGGUGUGUUAUAGUCUCUAGUCGCAUGCAAGGGUCGGGAUUGAGGAACUCAGCACGCGCCUUCGGGCGUCGGGGUUCGCCCACGAUACGUGCUUAGGAUGUUGGCGUAAUGGCUUUAAACGACCCGUCUUGAAACACGG
rnacentral:rRNA from 1 species